rnacentral:rRNA from 1 species
CGUAAAGAGCUCGUAGGUGGUUUGUCGCGUUGUUCGUGAAAUCUCACGGCUUAACUGUGAGCGUGCGGGCGAUACGGGCAGACUAGAGUACUGCAGGGGAGACUGGAAUUCCUGGUGUAGCGGUGGAAUGCGCGGAUAUCAGGAGGAACACCGGUGGCGAAGGCGGGUCUCUGGGCAGUAACUGACGCUGAGGAGCGAAAGCGUGGGGAGCGAACAGGAUUAGAUACCCUGGUAGUCCACGCCGUAAACGGUGGGUACUAGGUGUGGGUUUCCUUCCUUGGGAUCCGUGCCGUAGCUAACGCAUUAAGUACCCCGCCUGGGGAGUACGGCCGCAAGGCUAAAACUCAAAGGAAUUGACGGGGGCCCGCACAAGCGGCGGAGCAUGUGGAUUAAUUCGAUGCAACGCGAAGAACCUUACCUGGGUUUGACAUGCACAGGACGCGUCUAGAGAUAGGCGUUCCCUUGUGGCCUGUGUGCAGGUGGUGCAUGGCUGUCGUCAGCUCGUGUCGUGAGAUGUUGGGUUAAGUCCCGCAACGAGCGCAACCCUUGUCUCAUGUUGCCAGCGGGUAAUGCCUGGGACUCGUGAGAGACUGCCGGGGUCAACUCGGAGGAAGGUGGGGAUGACGUCAAGUCAUCAUGCCCCUUAUGUCCAGGGCUUCACACAUGCUACAAUGGCCGGUACAAAGGGCUGCGAUGCCGUAAGGUUAAGCGAAUCCUUUUAAAGCCGGUCUCAGUUCGGAUUGGGGUCUGCAACUCGACCCCAUGAAGUCGGAGUCGCUAGU